rnacentral:ncRNA from 1 species
UAUCCACCUGCAAAAGACAUACUGGUUUUGUGAUUCGGUUGACGGUAGCGGCCCCCCGGCGCGCCAGGACCGGGGCUUCUCGGAGUCGGGUUGCUUGGGAGUGCAGCCCAAAGCGGGUAGUAAACUCCGUCUAAGGCUAAAUACCGGCACGAGACCGAUAGUCAACAAGUACCGUAAGG